rnacentral:misc_RNA from 1 species
AAGUCGUAACAAGGUUUCCGUAGGUGAACCUGCGGAAGGAUCAUUAACGAAUAUCUAUGGCGUUGGUUGUAGCUGGCUCCUAGGAGCAUUGUGCACGCCCGUCAUUCAUAUCAUCUUUCCACCUGUGAACCAUGUGUAGGCCUGGAUACCCCUCGCUUUGGCAACAAAGCGGAUGCAAGGAUUGCUGCGUCGACAAGGCCGGCUCUCUUUGAAUUUCCAGGUUCUAUGUCUUUUACACACCCCAUUCGAAUGAUUUAGAAUGUAGUCAAUGGGCUUUCAUGCCUAUAAAAAACUAUACAACUUUCAGCAACGGAUCUCUUGGCUCUC